rnacentral:rRNA from 1 species
GACGAACGCUGGCGGCGUGGAUUAGGCAUGCAAGUCGGACGGUAGGGCUUUAUCGUAAGAUAGAGUUUGAGGGUGGCGAACGGGUGAGUAACACGUAGGAAUCUACCCUUAAGACGGGGACAACCCAGGGAAACUUGGGCUAAUACCGGAUGAGAGUGCGAGAGAUUGCAUUUAAAAGGAUGGCGAAAGUUGUCGCUUAGGGAUGAGCCUGCGGUCUAUUAGUUAGUUGGUGAGGUAAGAGCUCACCAAGGCGAUGAUAGAUAGGCGGCCUUAACGGGUGGUCGCCCACACUGGGAUUGAGACACGGCCCAGACUCCUACGGGAGGCAGCAGUGGGGAAUUUUGGACAAUGGGCGAAAGCCUGAUCCAGCCAUUCCGCGUGCAGGAUGAAGGCCCUCGGGUUGUAAACUGCUUUUGUACGGACGAAAAGGCUCUUGCUAAUACCAGGAGUCCAUGACGGUACCGUAAGAAUAAGCACCGGCUAACUACGUGCCAGCAGCCGCGGUAAUAGUGU